AGUGAACAUUAAAAACUGGGUGCGCGAUGGGUCUUCCUGGCAACCGUAGUGGGUGUGGAGUGUGAAUCAAGCUCCAACUUUGAUAGGAGUCACAGGUGAACAGCCUCCAACAGAAAACAUGACAUCCAUCCUGCUGGAAAGAACAAACACAAAGAUGUAGAGUUUUGCUGAUGCUACAUUACGGGCUGAUUAAGGAGGUGUUGUCCUUCACAGUCAAACAUUUCCUCAUACUAAGCUUGGGUGCUGUGUAUGCUUUGUGUUGAUCAAAACUUAGCUGGCCACUGGAGGUGUGUACAGGGCAGGAGAGUGAGCUGAGUUUGAGCCCAGUGAUGAGUCCGUCGGGCCUGCGGGGCUGCCUGUAACCCUGGCCCUCAUCUAUCACAUUGCAUG